rnacentral:lncRNA from 1 species
GGUAUCAUCAGGAGAGUAGAGACUAGAGACUGGUUCACAGGAGAGAGGAGGGUAGAGACUAUAGACUGGUAUCAUCAGGACGGUAGAGACAAUAGACUGGUAUCAUCAGGAGGGUAGACUAUAGACUGGUAUCAUCAGGAGACAGGAGAGUAGAGACUAUAGACUGGUAUCAUCAGGAGGGUAGACUAUAGAAUGGUAUCAUCUGAGAAAGGAGAGUAGAGACUAUAGACGGGUAUCAU